CGGGCCAAGUCCCUUGGAACAGGGCGUCCCAGAGGGUGAGAGCCCCGUGUCCGCCCGGGCCGUCUUCGCCGCGCGAAGCCCCUUCGACGAGUCGAGUUGUUUGGGAAUGCAGCUCCAAGCGGGAGGUAAAUUUCUUCCAAGGCUAAAUACCGGCCAGAGACCGAUAGCGCACAAGUAGAGUGAUCGAAAGAUGAAAAGCACUUUGGAAAGAGAGUCAAAAAGCACGUGAAAUUGUUGAAAGGGAAGCUCUUGCCGCCAGACUUGCGGCGGUCGCUCAGCCGUCCCCCGGGGCGGUGCACUCGUCCGCCGGCAGGCCAGCGUCGGCUCGGGCGGCCGGAUAAAGGCCCUGGGAAGGUGGCCCCUCUCGGGGGGUGUUAUAGCCCGGGGUGCAAUGCGGUCAGCCCGGGCCGAGGCACGCGUUCGCUAGGACGCUGGCGUAAUGGCCGCAAGCGACCCGUCUUGAAAC
rnacentral:rRNA from 1 species